rnacentral:rRNA from 1 species
GACGAACGCUGGCGGCGUGCUUAACACAUGCAAGUCGAACGGAGAGGCCCUGCUUUUGUGGGGUGCUCGAGUGGCGAACGGGGGAGUAACACGUGAGUAACCUGCCCUUGACUUUGGGAUAACUUCAGGAAACUGGGGCUAAUACCGGAUAGGGUCUCCUGCUGCAUGGUGGGGGUUGGAAAGUUUCGGCGGUUGGGGAUGGACUCGCGGCUUAUCAGCUUGUUGGUGGGGUAGUGGCUUACCAAGGCUUGGACGGGUAGCCGGCCUGGGAGGGUGACAGGCCACAUUGGGACUGAGAUGCGGCACAGACUAGUACGGGAGGCAGCAGUGGGGAAUAUUGCACAAUGGGAGGAAGCCUGCUGCAGUAACGCCGCGUGCGGGAUGACGGCCUUCGGGUUGUAAACCGCUUUCGCCUGUGACGAAGAGUGAGUGACGGUAAUGGGUAAAGAAGCACCGGCUAACUACGUG